UUUGAAUGGGAGAAAGCUGAUAAUAAUGUUGUGAGGAGGGUUUGGGAGAAUCAUGCUGCAACUAAAUAAGAUCAAAAUCAGGAUAAUUUUUUUUAUUCCAAAUAUUAAAAAUUUAUUUUUCAUUUACUAAUAGAUAAUUUAUUUUUUCAAUAUAGGUUCAAUGAUUUUUGGUAUGAGAUGCAAAAGAAAGCCAAAAAAUAUACGAAAGAAAGAGAGCUUCCAGACUUGAAUGACGUGAUGGUUUGGAAGGAUUUCAAACUACCAUACGUCUUAGAGGUUGUAUGUGAAAUACAUUCAGAACGUGACGUCCACACUUUUCACGCAAUAGUCACAAUUCGAUGGGGAGAACAAGAAUCAGCAUGUCAACAAUUCUGUUACCACCCAUACUAGCGGCUCUAUUCCAUUCAUUUUGCAUGUGAAGCGGAUGGCUACGGUUCUUGAAUGCGAACCAAGCCCGAUGGAGCUUUUUGUUGAAACGCAUGUGCGUAGUGAUGACCGCCAAAAAAGGAUGCAACAGUUCGUGGAUACGUAAGCUCGACACUUUUUGGAUAAAUAUAACAGUCGGUUGAAUGAGAGAUAUAGAGAUGAUUCUUCGACCCAUCUAAAUCUCGAUCCGGAUUUGUGGUUGAAGGUAGGGUCGUUUGGUGGACUGAUAGAAAUCGAAUCUACAAACUCCCUAACAUUACGGUCCAGAACUUGCAGAUGACUCGUAGUGUUUUCUUCUAAGUAAUUUGAGGAAAAAUCAAUCAAUUGUAAUCAAGUAGCCUUCCCAAGCUCUGGUGGUAUCUCACCAAAACAUUAUUGUUUGAGAUUUUAAAGCUUGUCAUGUUACA